AUUGAACGCUGGCGGCAGGCCUAACACAUGCAAGUCGAAUGGUAACAGGAAACAGCUUGCUGUUUCGCUGACGAGUGGCGGACGGGUGAGUAAUGUCUGGGAAACUGCCUGAUGGAGGGGGAUAACUACUGGAAACGGUAGCUAAUACCGCAUAACGUCGCAAGACCAAAGAGGGGGACCUUCGGGCCUCUUGCCAUCAGAUGUGCCCAGAUGGGAUUAGCUAGUAGGUGGGGUAACGGCUCACCUAGGCGACGAUCCCUAGCUGGUCUGAGAGGAUGACCAGCCACACUGGAACUGAGACACGGUCCAGACUCCUACGGGAGGCAGCAGUGGGGAAUAUUGCACAAUGGGCGCAAGCCUGAUGCAGCCAUGCCGCGUGUAUGAAGAAGGCCUUCGGGUUGUAAAGUACUUUCAGCGGGGGGGAAGGGAGUAAAGUUAAUACCUUUGCUCAUUGACGUUACCCGCAGAAGAAGCACCGGCUAACUCCGUG
rnacentral:rRNA from 1 species